CCUGGCCUUGGGCCACUCCUGCAUGGCGGUCACGCCUUCGGGGGUGCUUAGCCCUUGACUAUCACCUUGACUAUGCGUACCUUUGUUGUUUCCUCGGCAGGCUUCCUGCCGAUGGAACCCUUUACAACCCUUUUGCAGUAGCAUCAAACUGAAACAAACCACAAUUAUUUA
rnacentral:misc_RNA from 1 species